rnacentral:rRNA from 1 species
UACGUAGAGAGCAAGCGUUGUCCGGAAUCAUUGGGCGUAAAGGGUACGCAGGCGGUCUGUUAAGUCAGAGGUGAAAUCCAACAGCUCAACUGUUGAACUGCCUUUGAUACUGGUAGACUUGAGGAUAAGAGAAGGAAACGGAAUUCCUAGUGUAGCGGUGAAAUGCGUAGAUAUUAGGAAGAAUACCGAUGGCGAAAGCAGUUUUCUAACUUAAUUCCUGACGCUCAGGUACGAAAGCUAGGGUAGCAAACGGG